CGUCAUGGUGGCCGUGUGCGGGCAGACCUCGGUCUGGCCGGGUUUACCUUGUGGCCCGGAUUUCUCACCCCGUACAUGGCUGCCACCUUG
rnacentral:antisense_RNA from 1 species